UGGGGAAUAUUGGACAAUGGGGGCAACCCUGAUCCAGCCAUGCCGCGUGGGUGAAGAAGGCCUUCGGGUUGUAAAGCCCUUUUGGCGGGGAGGAAGGGUGUGAGGUGAAUAAUCUCGCACUUUGACGUUACCCGCAGAAUAAGCACCGGCAAACUCCGUGCCAGCAGCCGCGGUAAUACGGAGGGUGCAAGCGUUAAUCGGAAUUACUGGGCGUAAAGCGCAUGCAGGCGGUCUGUUAAGUCAGAUGUGAAAUCCCCGGGCUUAACCUGGGAACUGCAUUUGAAACUGGCAGACUGGAGUCCUGGAGAGGGGGGUAGAAUUUCCGGUGUAGCGGUGAAAUGCGUAGAUAUCGGAAGGAAUACCAGUGGCGAAGGCGGCCCCCUGGCCAGAGACUGACGCUCAGAUGCGAAAGCGUGGGGAGCAAACAGG
rnacentral:rRNA from 1 species